CAGAGACCUCAAGCGUUAUCCGGAAUCAUUGGGCGUAAAGCGUACCGAUAGGUGGUUUUACAAGUCAGAAGUGAAAUUCCAAAGCUCAACUUUGGGUCUGUCUUUUGAAACUGUAAAAACUAGAAGGGCAAAGAGGAAGCUGGAACAAACGGUGUAGUAGUGAAAUGCGUUGAUAUCGUUUGGAACACCAAUAGCGUAGGCAGGCUUCUGGGUGCCACUUGACACUGCUAGGACGAAAGCGUGGGGAGCGAAUGGGAUUAGAUACCCCAGUAGUCCACGCUGUAAACGAUGAUGAUUAGGUGCUAGGGAGUAUCGACCCUCCUUAGUACCAUAGCUAACGCGUUAAAUCAUCCGCCUGGGGAGUACGGCCGCAAGGCUA
rnacentral:rRNA from 1 species